GGAAAAAUUGAUACCAUUGAGAUAAUUACUGACAGGCAGUCUGGAAAGAAAAGAGGCUUACUUUUGAUGACCAUGAUCCUGUGGAUAAGAUUGUGUUGCAAAAAUACUAUCAAUGGUUAUAAUGCAGAAAAGAAAGGCUUUGUCUAGACAAGAAAUGCAGGAAGUCCAAAGUUCUAGAGGUGGAAGGAGGAGGCAACUUUGGUUUUGGAGAUUCUCGCGGUGGCGGUGGAAAUUUUGGACCAGGACCAGGAAGUAACUUUAGAGGGGGAUCUGAUGGAUAUGGAAGUGGCUGUGGAUUUGGGGAUGGCUAUAACUGGUAUGGAGGGGGACCUGGAGGAAAUUACGGGAGUGGAAAUUACAAUGAUUUUGCAAAUUAUAACCAACAACCUUCUAACUAUGGUCCAAUGAAGAGUGGAAAUUUUGGUGGUAGCAGGAACAUUGGGGGACCAUAUGGUGGAGGAAGCCAUGGUCCAGGAGGCAGUGGAGGAAGUGGGGGUUACGGAGGGAGAAGCAGAUACUGAGCUGCUUCCUAUUUGCCAUGGGCUUCACUGUAUAAAUAGGAGAGGAUGAGAGCCCAGAGGUAACAGAACAGCUUCAGGUUAUCGAAAUAACAACGUUAAGGAAAAUCUUAUCUCAGUCAUGCAUAAAUAUGCAGUGAUAUGGCAGAAGACACCAGAGCAGAUGCAGAGAGCCAUUUUGUGAAUGGAUUGGAUUAUUUAAUAACAUUACCUUACUACUGUGGAGGAAGGAUUGAAAAAAAAAAAAAAUGCCUUUGAGACAGUGUCUUAGCUGUUUAAUUGUUGUUUCUUUCUAGUGGUCUUUGUAAGAGUGUAGAAGCAUUCCUUCUUUGAUAAUGUUAAAUUUGUAAGUUUCAGGUGACAUGUGAAACCUUUUUUAAGAUUUUUCUCAAAGUUUUGAAAAGCUAUUAGCCAGGAUCAUGGUGUAAUAAGACAUAACGUUUUUCCUUUAAAAAAAUUUAAGUGCGUGUGUAGAGUUAAGAAGCUGUUGUACAUUUAUGAUUUAAUAAAAUAAUUCUAAAGGAAAAAAAAAUAA
rnacentral:lncRNA from 1 species